rnacentral:misc_RNA from 1 species
GAUGAAGAACGUAGCAAAAUGCGAUAAGUAAUGUGAAUUGCAGAAUUCAGUGAAUCAUCGAAUCUUUGAACGCACAUUGCGCCCGCUGGUAUUCCGGCGGGCAUGCCUGUUCGAGCGUCAUUUCAACCCUCAAGCCCCCGGGUUUGGUGUUGGGGAUCGGCUCUGCCCUUCUGGGCGGUGCCGCCCCCGAAAUACAUUGGCGGUCUCGCUGCAGCCUCCAUUGCGUAGUAGCUAACACCUCGCAACUGGAACGCGGCGCGGCCAUGCCGUAAAACCCCAACUUCUGAAUGUUGACCUCGGAUCAGGUAGGAAUACCCGCUGAACUUAAGCAUAUCAAAAGCGGAGGA